rnacentral:rRNA from 1 species
CCUACGGGUGGCAGCAGUGAGGAAUAUUGGUCAAUGGGCGAGAGCCUGAACCAGCCAAGUCGCGUGAGGGAGUACUGCCCUAUGGGUUGUAAACCUCUUUUGUCGGGGAGCAAAAGCCGGACGUGUCCGGCUGUGAGAGUACCCGAAGAAAAAGCAUCGGCUAACUCCGUGCCAGCAGCCGCGGUAAUAGGGAGGAUGCGAGCGUUAUCCGGAUUUAUUGGGUUUAAAGGGUGCGCAGGCGGAUUUUUAAGUCAGCGGUAAAAUCGUGGGGCUCAACCCCAUCCAGCCGUUGAAACUGGGGAUCUAGAGUGUGCGAGAGGUAUGCGGAAUGCGUGGUGUAGCGGUGAAAAGCAUAGAUAUCACGCAGAACCCCGAUUGCGAAGGCAGCAUACCGGUGCACAACUGACGCUCAGGCACGAAAGCGUGGGUAUCGAACAGGAUUAGAUACCCCAGUAGUC